CGUCCAGCCGGCCGACGACGACGAGCCGGACGAGGUGCUGGCGCAGGUGGUCACGUGCUCGUACGUGCUGCGCGCCCUGACGGCCGCCAGUCCAACGGCGCUGUCCGGCUGCCGGCCCGCCGCCAGCGCCGCCCUGGCGGCCGCCGGACGAGUCUCGCCCGAGCAGAUCAGCGGCGACGAUGCGCCGCUGCAGCACCUGGACGCCGCCCGCCGGCUGCUGGAGGAACUGGUGGAGCGGUGCGCGGCCGCUUGAGGGCGCUGACGGUUUUGGGCGGUUCGUUGAAGGCCAGCUGCGUCCGGCGAAUGGGAGCAGCUUACUCUAGGUCUCGCCAGCCGGGCUUGGUUGGGAACUGGGUCCAACAUGGAUACGCAUCAGCACCAGACAGGCCCAUGUCUUAGAAAGGCAGACAGGCUGGUCCGCAGAAUCAUGUCGCUUUGUGAUAAUACAAGUUGGACAGACA